GUGACCCAAUAAUAAUUAUGUUUUAGGAGGUGACCCUGGCCAAUGGCAUAUAAGACAGCCCAGAGGAGAAAGAGUGGUAAGGGAAAGCAUUUAGGACACUGUGGCAGCAGGCUAUAGAAGUCCUAAUUAAGGUUGAACUAGAGUUGUGGAAUUAGGAAUGAAGAAAAGAGGACAGAUGCAAGAGACAUCAUUGAGGAAGGAUCAACAAGUCUUGACAGUUUGGCUGUAAGGACAGGUGGUUGGGGGCAUGCAGUGACGGGAGGGGUGAGGAGAAAUCCUAGGUGGUUCCAGGGUUUCCAUUUGAGUAAAACGUGUCCCAUUAACAGAAAGGAAAAUUGAAAGGAGGAAUGGGUUUUGCAGGGAAGAUACUGAGUUUUAAGGUAUCAACAAGGUGCCCAGGUAAUAUUGUUGAGCAGGCAGCUGGAAUUUGGGGACUGAAGCUUAAGAAUGAGGUUAUAGCUGGAUAUGUAAACAUAAGUCGUCCUUGAAGUGAUGAUAAUUUAAGCCUGUGUACUUCAAACUUUAGCCUUUUGAGUGCUACUUAAAAGCUUUUUGCCAUACUUAACCAAUACUUAUACUCUUACUUAACAUUUAAAAAUCUGUUUUAAAUUAACUCACUUUUUAAAAGCACAGCCCAUUCUAAGGGACUUCCCUGGUGGUACAGUGGUUAAGAAUCCGCCUGCCAAUGCAGGGGACACAGGUUCGAGCCCUGGCCCAAGAAGAUCCCACGUGCCGUGGAGCAGCUAAACCCUUGCACCACAACUACUGAGCCUGCGCUCUAGAGCCCACGAGCCACAACUACUGAGCCUGUGUGCCACAACUACUGAAGCCCACAUGCCUAGAGCCCGUGCUCCACAACAAAAGAAGCCACCGCAAUGAGAAGCCUAUGCACCACAACGAAGAGUAGCCCCUGCUCGCCACAACUAGAGAAAGCCCGCACGCAGCAACGAAGACCUAAGGCAGCCAAAAAAUAAAUUAACUAAUUAAAAAUAAAUAAAUAAAAGCAUAACCCAUUCUAAAUAAUAAUAUCUGUGAAAUCUGUGAGUUUGAUGUGAUGGAUAUAGUUUUUUAAAAUACCCAUGAAAAUAAAUGCAUAAUUACCAUGUUUCAUGAUUGUAAGAUGCACAUCUUUUCACAAUUUAACGUUUCCGAAAUUGGGGUGUUUUACAGUUGAUGGCAUCUUACAAACUCUUUUGGCCAGGCAGCGGUGGAGAUAUACUUGUCAUUGUCAGUACAUGAGCCAAUUUGGCAUGCGUGAAAAACUGCAGUCUCUCAACGUUUCAGUCAACAAACCAUUUAAAGAUCUUUAGAGAAAAGAGUAUAAGUUUUAACUGUUGUCUGAGAACCUGACUUUCUGGUACAAAGAAGAAAGCAUGGAGACUUGCAGAAUGAGUAUCAGCACCAUGGAAGAGAAUCCCAGAGAGAGUAGUUAAGACAUUUAAGAAAUGUCACAUCCCUGAUACUCCUGAUGGCUCCGAGGAUAUCAAUGACCGUGAGCUGAAAAGUGGUUCAGAAGAGUUGGACACUGAUUGUGAGAACAAUUUAGGAAAACCUUCACCCAUUUGUUUUGCUUAUAUCUCCCUCUGUGCAUGCACAGGAGUGAUGUAUAAAAAAACUCUCUGAGCAAUCUAAAAGAUCUUUUGAAUAAGUAUAAACUUAAAAUUUUAAGUGAUAAGAAAGCAUUGUGUCAUAAUUUAAUUGGCAGCCGCUUUCUAAGUAGUAUAUUUUAAAUGGUGCGUCUUAUGGUGGGUGCCGUCCAAGGUUAGAUUAAACAAAGUAUCCAAAUAAAAAAAUGUCAGUUCAUGUUCCACUUAAAGUCAUCUCAUAAAUACUACUUUAUGGAAGCACAUUUAAGCCAGGGGAAUAAAUAAGAUCACCAAGAGAAUAUUUAUACAGAAGAAAAGAGCCUUAGGACGCUGAGGAAAGUCUGCAUUUCAUGGGAGAGAGAGGAGUCAGGGUGUGUAAAGAGGGUGAGUGGAUGACUCCUGGCAGUGCAGCGUCAUGGAAGCCUUAGAAGGAGAGAGGUUUUUUUUUUUCAAGAAAGAGAAGUAACUGAGAAAAAUCCAAUACUUCAGAAGACCUGGAGAGCAUUCAAAAAGAUAGGAAGUGGUGGCUUUGAGGGGUCGGAGAGCAUGAAUAGUGGGGAAGUUGGUCCUAGACUUUUCUUUUUAAGAAAAAGUGAGUAGAGAAAUAAAAACGGUGAGGACUGAUAAGGAUCAGAGUUAAUAUUUUUUUCCUUAAGCCUGAGAGCCCUGGGCAUGUUUUGGGAACAAGAGGUAGGAACUGGUAGAGACGUAGUGAUGCCAAUAUGAAGAAAAGUAACUGCCCAUUUCAGGACCUGACGACGUGCAAAGGGGUGGAAUCAACAGCACGCAUUGAAGAGGUAACCUUAAACGCUUCCUCAGAAGCAGGGGUGAAGGAAGAGGGAGGUAGAGUGGAUUUUGAAUAAUGUUGAGUUCUAAAGGAGAGAACUUCAGAAGGUUCGUCAUGAUCCCAAACAAGGAACCCCGUUACUCCCUGACAGUGAAGGACAGGGUCAGGGGCUUGGAAGGAGGUGGGAAGGGCUCAGAAUAGUUGCUGUAGGAAAUGUCAAGGGGACUCAGCACGAGCUGAGUCAGAGGUGGCUGAGUUACCGUGAGUGCCCAGCUGAGGUCUGGGCGCACAAGUCUGGAGCGGGCUCACUAGUGUGGUCUCGCAGGUCUCCCCAGGAUUGCUUGGCAGACAGGAGUAGGAGCCAAGAAAGCAAACAGUGGAAAGUCGCCGCCUGUUGAGAACUGGCAGAGUAGGCAUGACAGGAGAACAAAGAGGAGCGAUGGUAGGGUAGCAGUGAGUGCAAAGUUGGAAUGGCUAACCGUGGGAGGUGGGCCAGAUGGGGAGGCAGUGGGAGGCCAAAUCAGGGUGAUGGACAGGAAGAAAAGGGGGGCCCUGGGUGAUUGACACUCACAGUGUACACAGAGAACCAGGAGGCAAGAGAAGGAAUGUGAGAAUCCAGUUGGCUGAAUGGAGAUGUGGAGGACUUCAAGAGGUUUUAAAAAUAGAAGACUUAGCAAUAAUUAUGUACCAGAAUUAUAAACGUACAUGUCUUCUUAGAGGGCAGUUUAUAGCCUGGUGGUUAAUAGCAGUAGAUUUGGAUUUAAAUCCAAGCCCAGCUAGCAUUUACACACUCACUGUAUGACCGCUUGAACAUAAAUUUUCCUUCCCCACAUCCACUCUGCUUUGUUUCUUGGAUGACAGACUCUGUAUGGACCACACCAAUGGGCUCCCUUGCCCUCUGGGUUCCAAUUAGGUUCACCCAGUGGGGAGCGCUGGCAGGACACGGAACACAGGGAGGAAAGGAAGGUCGGGGUAUGGAUUCUGCCAGCUCUCUUCCUGUGGUAUUGCACUGAACUGGCUGCAUCCGUCUCCAAGGCUGUUUCUUUCAGAGUCCUGGUAACCACUUCCUGCCCUCCCACUUUAAGCCUAGCGGUUGUAACUUGCCCACUGUUAGCUUGUCCCAGGCUAAUGUGCCAGGCCUUGUGGAUUCCCACACCUUUUAAAUAGUCGCUUUAUUAAAGACUGCUUAAAUUACCUAAUUUGAUUAUGUGGCCUAUUUUCUAUUGGGACUCUGAUAAAAUCACCUUGGGCAAGUUACUUAGGCUUUCAGCCUCACUUUUCUAAUCUGCAAGAUUGAGAUAAUAAUAGUACCCACUUCACAGGUUUAGUAGAAGGAUUAGAUAUGAUAAUGUAAAAUCCUUACACAAUGCAGGGCAUAUAGUACGCCCUUAAUAAAUGAUGAUGAUGUAUGAUAGACUCUGGAAUUUCCAUUUAUCCAUGUAUAGAUUUAUGGAGAUCUAUAGAUCAGGGACAGAAUGUUUGUGUUAGCAGGUAGCAUUUCCUGCCCACCAGUGGCAGAAUUGAAGGGGCAGAUUGGAGAAGGAGAAACUCUCCAAGCUCCCUCCUCCCAAAGGCAUUUUAGAUGGAUGGGUCACAACUUAAUUUGUGGGGAGAAGUGAAAUACGCAAAGUACUCACCACUACAAUUGGAAUAUCUUUAACAUACAGUCUAAGUAAAAAAUAGCGUGCUUGAUGUGCAAGUGCAGCUUCAAGACAAUUUCUCUGACCCUCUCCUCCUUGACACACCUUUCAUAGCCCCUGGAAAUUGUAGAGCCAUCGCUGGUCUUCUUGAUUGUGGAGGCUUCUCUGGUUUUCCUGAUUAUAUGGCUAAUUGAAACCGUUGAACGCAUGGCUGUGCCUUUUAGGUGGCACAGAAGUAGUGGUUUUUAAAACUGGGUUCAAGAACAACUUUGGUAGAGGAGCAGCUCUGAAACUCUUACCUUCUUUCAUUUGUUAUGACUUAACAAGGCAAUGCUUAGACUUGGUUAAGUGUUCUGAAUUAUUAAGCCAUAAUAGCAAUGCUGUCUUCUACUUGGUUAGAGCCUUAUAAUUUGAAAGUGUUUUUAGUCACUUUUCAAAAGUGGAGACGUCGUCAUGUUGUAAACAUGAAGCCUCUGUGAGGCCAGCCACCAGGAGGCCACCAUCAUGCACCAGACUUUGAAGGACACCAGUGAGUAUAUCUGUCUUAUUUAUAACAACCUCCAGGAAAAUAAAGACUGCAAACCUCCAUCAACUCAAGUUGACCACUGACCGUGAUACUCAGGAAGGGAGGCAUUUUUGCUGAUACAUGUAUUCACACAUAUUCACAUGUAUUCACCGGAGCACUUCUGUAAACUUCACAGAUCGUUUAAAUGGUCACGUUUCAUGUCCUAUAUGCAUGUAGGCACCUUACAGAGAUAAAGCCGGAAAGGGGUCAUAGUAAAAGGGUAAACAGUGAUCAAGAGCAGGCUUCCCAUGGCUCAGCUGGUGCUUUCAUGAUUCUCUUGUGCUUUUUGGCCCUGGGUGCUGCCGACAACAGCAGAGGAUGCCUGUGGCUGUGCUCACCUGGGCACCAUAUGGGGUUUUAAACCCGGGGUAACAACUUCCGUUUGCUAAGUCUUGUUAUUCACUCUCUCAGGCCCCUAAAUUUGCUUUCGAAAACCCUCAAAUCCGGAUGCCCUUUCUGCGUGGGAUAUAUUUAUGUGUAUAUCUGCUUUAUCAGGAAUGUGGUUGCAUUCAGGUCUGUUGUCCUAAGCGCCUUUGUCGGUAGCUGCAUUCCAUGCAGUUCGGUCUUUCAGCCCCACGUAUUUACUAACUAUUCAAAUGCCUUGUGGUAUUCACACACAGAUUAUGUAAAAUAAAAAAAAUACAUUAUUAAGGCAGUGGAUGCUGUGAAUGGAUUAUUACAAUUUGCCUAUCAUGGUAAUGGCACCUGUUAGAGGUGUGAUACAAAAGGCAGUGACAGGCAGUGUAAUUUAGUAAUUGUGGCCAUUGUACCGUAUGGCUGAUCAGUUCACCAGGCAAGUACAAAGGAAGCAGUGUUAUAGCAGAGCAGGGGUGCGUACGCUUAAUAGAGAGAGCUAGUUGUGUACUGAAAGAGACUUUUGGUGGAGGGCUAACUCCCAGGGGGCAACUUCGAAUGAGUUGAAAAGAAUGAACAAAAGUACAAAAAUGGUACAGGUUUUCCUAUUUCAGCUCUUAAAGUGACAGACGAGUUACGUUGGUGCACGUUGCCAGCACUUUCUUCUACUGCCAGAGUAGCUUUUUUUUUCAAAAUACUCCAAGUUGCCUUGUCAUAUGGCAGUCACAUCUAAUGUACCCUUUUCUUCUCCUAUAUGUAAAACAUUCUGUGUCAAAGUUCAGAUCUAACUGGCGUAGGGGGGCAAAUUCACUGAAGUUUGAGAAAACCAUUUGUUUACAGUCUACAACAGUAUUUAAAGAGCACGUAACUGCAGAUUCAGAAAAGAUACAAGUUUAUAUAUCCUCUUCCUCUAUUAAUUUCCCUGCUCUCCUUAGCAUUAUGUUAAUAUCAUGGGUGGUUUUGCUACUAGUCUGAAAAUUCUAGCGUACUACCAGUCAGUGUAAUUCAGGCCGAACUUGGGCAUCAGAAUAGGUUACAGAAAUUAAUAGGAAGAAUUUAUAAAGUAUAUUUUUCUCCUUACCUCAAGAACUCAUGAAGUCUAGCCGUUUCUCAUGGCUUUACUGAGAAAUACUUGAGAGGAGAAUGAGGGAAAGCACAGUAAAAAGGACCAAAUAUGCCAAGAUGACUUUUGUAUCUCAAAAUAAUAUGUCCUGUGUACCCUGAUGCCAGAUGGACCACCAUGCGUCACUCCCCUGUGAUGUCAGGCAGAGUAUACCUGUGAUGUUAGGUAGAGUAUAGAAUGUGCCUUUGGAAACAGCAGCUUCCUCCACCUGUUUCUUAACUUGCUUUAUUGUCCCUGUUCAAAUUGUGAUUGACAACAAACUGAGCUUUUCUCAGGGUGGAUAUUGAAUACUUUUUAUGGGCCGGGCAACGUACGAAGCUCUUUAUAAGCAUUUCCACAUUUAAUCUUUGCACCAAUCUUUGGAGUAUAGGUAGAAUUACUAUCCCCACUGAACAGAUAAGGAAACAGAGCCUCAGGGAGGUUCCAUAGCGUCCUUCUAUGCAGUGAGUUGGGAUGAUGUAUCCACAUUCUCUCCAUGUUUAUGUAUGUUUUUAUAUCUCUCUAGAGAGGGAGAGAGAUAUAUAGAAAAACAGUACACUUAGUUCUAAGUAUCCAUGUUAUAUUUGUAGUGAAGGUUGACAGGGUUUUGAAAAUAGAAUUGCAAAAAAUUAGUCAUAAGAUUCCAGAAUCUUAUCAUGGAAUAAAAUAUGAGCAUUGUGUCCCACAGUCAUUUUAGUAGCACGGGCUACAUGAGCUAAGUCCUUUAUUAAAGGUGGAUCAACUUGUAGAAUAUAUAAUGCUACGGGGAGCCAGCCCAGUUUUAAUAAAGGGGACACACAGAAGAAAAUGUAUACUACAAAAUGUCGAUUCACAUCUCAACUUGUAUAAAUAGUGUUGCAGACAGUACUAGACAUGUGUGAAUGGGUGAGGUAUGCCACUGUUCGGAAUCACUCAUGCAAGGGCUUUGGCCAUCAGCCCGACGAAACGGGCGUGCCACUUAAGAGGGUGCCAGCUGAAUAGAUGGAGUUGUAUGAUACUUAAAACAUGAUUCUGUACUAGUGCUACAUAGAACAACGAUUACAGCUUGUUACUUUUCUUUGCGCCAGUUUUGACAUCUGAACAUUUUUAACUGAAAAAGAAUGUCAUUUUCAUGAAAGAACUUCCUGUACAACAAAGUUAGCAUUUAUAGUCAUCCUAACAUAUGAAAUGAUUUGAUAAGCUCGAAUAUUCUAAUAGGCAGAAGUUUCCUUUUUCUGCUUCCUAGAAAUCAUUCCAAAGUUUGCAGAGUAGCCAUGGGGAAAGAUAUAGGGGUUUAUUUCUGGCAUCAAGUUGUACAAAGAAACAACAAAGUUAUGGAUUUUGGGGGGAGGGUGCUUGUGUCACGCGCCCUCCUCCGCCUCUGCAUCAUAAUUCAGUAACUAUGGAGAGAAUUAGCAUACCGACAGAGCGCAUGUAAACAGUAUUCUACAUCUGUAAUCUAGCACUCAAGCAGAGAAAGCAUUGGGUGUUUUGGACAGACAGAAGCAGAAUCAGAUAUCAAUAUUCUCUAGUUUAAAGACUGCACUUACGUCUGAUAAAACCACCUGGGUUUCCUCAGCGGCUGAGGUCAGGGAUGGCGGCCGCAGACCCGUGUGCCCAUCAGACUGCUGGAGUCAAGUCCUCUGUUUGUGUACAAUGUAUAAAUGGGAAUGUGGGUAAACACUGCCCUCUCCAACCGCAUAAUUACGUCGAUUGCUGAAAAAACCCAGAAGUGCACCAAAAUAUCACAGGGAAGCUAUUUCUAACACGACUUUGCUCUUUAUGGCUAAGUGGCAGCCACUGUUUUUUUUUUUUUUCCCUUCUAAAUUAUGUGUUCUUGUUUCAAGCAUUUAGAUGAUGCAAAACAGAUUUUUGUGGCAACAUUCUUUUUCGCAGCCAAAAAAGCAUUCAAGGAAGAGCUGUACUCCGCCCAAGUUGCUAUUUAUUCUGGACCUUUUGUGUUAUCGGCAUAAACUCAUUUCAUUUAGAAAAGAGAAAUAACCUACUUUGGAUUGUUUUUUAGAACUGCUAAUAAUGCCAGUAAAAUAUCUAACAAUGAUGGGAAAUGGAAGUCUUCAAAUGAUCAGUCAGAAAGGAAGACGAAUAAAUGAACGUAAUAGGUGCAAAAAAUAAUAACCUUUCUCUUUAUGGUUUUUCAGAAUGCUCAGAAUAAAGCAGAUUCUUUCCCACAGAGACCUACUAAUUCUUCAUCCAUAAAAUAAAGGGUAACUUUGCGAUUGCCUAUGACCUCUAAUCUCAAAAGCAAGUCAUAGUUUUAUUAUCAGUCUUUUAACAUCCACUUCCUUAUCUCUCUGUCCUCCUCUCCAUUUUUUUUCCUCUGUCUCUGCUGCUUUUCUCUGGAUCCCUCCCCCUCCUCUUGCCAAUCUCCUUAGAAACAAUUGCAGUUAGCAGAGUCGGAAGUCAAAACAGUUAUUCUCAUAGCCAUGGUAAAAAAGACCAAAGUAAACAAAUUCACAAUUUCUCAUUUCCAACAUCUCCAUUUUGCACAUCCUAUUAUCAUGGCACUUAGUUUUAGGGUAACCACUGGUGAUUUAGUUGUCUAAAAAUGGCCAGUGGUUUUUUAGCAGCAAACAUGUUUUAUUCUUUCACGGACCUUGAAAUUUAAACUCAGAAAUUCCACAUCCAUACACUUAGCUUGUCCUAGCACCAUCCAUUUAUAUAUGUAGGUUCCUGUUUUUCAUUUGUUUGUCUGACUUUCUUAGGCUUUAGAUUUAGGAUCUGAGUAGGGUAUCAUAUGUUUCAAUGGGCCCUGAUGCCCAUUGAUGAAUAUAUCUUUUAAUAGGUAUUAUAAUUAAUUGUUGCAAGAAUGCUUCAGUUACAUCAGAUUUGUUGGAAAUUAUUACUUUUCGGUUUCUGGUGUUGCUAAAAGCAUAUUCAACGUUCCUCAGCUCUAUAAAUGUUCUUAGUGAAUGCUCUUUUCCCAAAAUUCAUGUAACACAUUUAAUACUUGCCAUGUACCUACCAUCGCAAUAGUUACUGUGAAGACCUCAGAGGAGUAUAUGUUCUCAAGCGUCUAUAACACAGAGAAAGAAAGUUAAACAAUAUCAUACUAAAAACUGGGAUGGAAACUGGCACAGAGACUAAAAAAGAAUAUGACUAAGGGAAAGGAAUUGGAAAGAAUAUCAAGGGAAAAGGACCUAGCUCUAACUGUUACACAUUAAUGAAGAGGAAAAAAGAAAGUUUAAUAAACUUUGAUGAAGGAGAACCUGUAAAGUGGUAUGUUAAAUGGAAUUCUCUGAAAUUCGAUAUCAAAAGAUACCUUUGCAGAAAAUGUUGAAAAUUUAAUACUAUUAAGUUACACUUCUUAGAGAACUAAAUGUAACGAGCACAUUAUCUAGGGCUGCUCCCAUAAUUUGGAUGGCUUAAUUAGUAAAUGCACAAAUACAGCUAUACUCAGAAUUAGAUUCCAACUGAUAUAACUGAAAUUAUAAAAAUGUAUUACAAACAAGUAGUAGGAUUUUUUGAAGGUUAUUUUUCCCUCAACGUUUGAGAGGAAAGUGACUUUUAGACUUGCCUUCUUCCCCUCCCUCCAAAUUCCUGAACUGUUUUAAGUGCCUCUGAUGCUUUCUUACAGCCUUAAUGCAUUGUUUUAAUGAGGAGAAGGGUGUUUGUGUGUGCAUGUUUGUGUUUUACCCUUAAACUGUGCUUUGUUGGUUUUAGUAAAAUAAAGUUGAAAAGCCACAUCUUUCCCAUUGAAAUGAAAUUAAAAACCACUGCAGCUCUGAUGUCAUGAAAGAAAAAUGAGGGGGAUUUAGACAGGAAAAUUGUGCAAAGAAAACUUUAUGAGGCUUUUAAAGGAGCUGAUACAGUGUCUUCUAACUUGAACUAAGCUGCACUUGUGUGUUCAGUGUAUGUGUCUACAUUGAAUGUACUUUUAUGAAAAGAAAGAGUAGACAAGCAACAGAAAUAUAUACGGAGAUAUGAGUGGCCUGGAGCAAAAAGCAAUAAAUGUAGUUUUUCCAGCUCCUCCAAAAAAGCUGCAAUUUAGGCCAUAUCAUUACAAAGUUUUUUUCCUUUUGAAAAAAAUGACUAAUUUCUAAAGCAAAUCCAUACUAAAAAGUAGUACAUGUAAUAAGUUUCAGAGUAUUACUUCAGGAUAGUAUGUACAUAGGAAAUAUCACUUGUUGAAUGUUUGAAGUCAUUCAGUGAAAGACUGAAAAUGUUAUGUUGUAACACGUUUGAUAAUUAUGCUUAUUCAGUUCGGAGCUACUUUUAUGUUUUCCUUUGAAAAGAAUGCUAAUACCCUCUUAUAAAUUGAGACCAUAAAGAAGGAUGAGGCUGUGCUUCGUUCCGAAUGGUUUAAAGGCAGCCUCUUUCUGAGUCUUUCUUAGAACUGCAGGUAGGAAGUAGCGGUGAGUAGUAAUGCGUGAACCAUAAGUUUUAUGAGCUCUGCCAGUCCGUAUGCUUCAUACAGUCUGUCAUUGUGUAGGGCUUGAAUGCAUUAUAAUAUGUGUUCAACACGUCCUCUUAACUGGCAGCGUUAACUUCCGUGCACGUCAUCACUGUGUCAUGAGUUUGUUUAAUCACGUUGCUCCUUUAUUCUAGGCUUUGUGUAGCUCUCUUACCUCCCCUCUCACCUUCAGUCAUGCUCAGAACCCAGUUCCUGGCAGGAAGGGAGAUAUUUAUUUCAGUCAGAAACAUCCAUGCAGCUUUCUAUAAUCACUUUGCCUGUAGAUUUCAACCCUAUGCUUCUUCAUCUUUUCUUUUCUUCAAAGUUUUACAUUGAAAGGGCAAAUGUGGAAGAUUUUUGCUUCUAAGGAAACUUUUAUUUGCCUUAAUUAUUGUGUCUGAGAACUGGUUUGUCUUUAUAAAAUUAAAACCUCUUUCCCCUUAGAAAUGGAGGAGGGGGGAGGAGGGGAAAUGAAUUGCAGAGAAUAACAUCUCACUUAUCUAAAAAUAAUAGUAAGGAGAAUAGCUAACAUUUGUCAAGCACUCACGAUGUUUAGACAGUGUUCUUAGUACUUUACAUGUGUCAGGUCUUCACAACAACCCUCUGAAGUAGGUAUCAUUUUUGUCCCCAUUUAUAGUGAGGAAGCCGCAGAGAGUUUGGUAACUUACUGAAAGCAGCACUACUAGAAAACGGUAGAGCGGGGAUUUGAACCAGCACUCUGGCAUCAGAAUCUGAAUUCUUGACCAGGAAAUUAUUACUACACACACAAGUAUUAAGUCAUAAGAGAAAAAAAUUUAUGUUGCGAAAGCCUGAAUUUAUUUCACGAGAAUUGCAAUGUGCAUUUCCUUAAAGAUGAUGAUUUAUAGUUUUCUUCCUUUUUAUAGAUUUAAUGUGUAUAGGGAUUGAAGGGCCAAACCUUAAUGUUAGGGUGCUAUUUAAGUGUAGAUUUCUAGUUGUCAUGAUACAAUAUUUUUGUACUCAGAAUAUGAACUCAGUAACUGAACAUAGCUUACUUUUCCACCAGGUUGUUUUUGCCCUAAUCUCUAUUAGGGGUAUUUGAGUCCUAGCCAUGUUUCUGAUGUUUAGCAAGAGAUGAAAGUUGGUAGCCACUCAAAAGCCUAUACGUGGAGCCGUAACCACCUCCUGCUGUCAAGAUAAAAUCCAGACAUCUCAGGCUGGUGUUCAAGACUCUCAAGCUCCUUCCCCAUAUUUCCCAACAUCUAUGCUCCAUCCAUAUCUGAUUAUCUGAUUAUCCUGCAAAUUACUUGGCAUGGUGGACAGAAUGGACCCCUGAAGAUGUCCACGACCUAAUCCCUGGAACCUGAGAAUAUUUUACAAUACAUGACAAAAGAGACUUUGCAGAUGUAAUUAGAGAGCUUAAGAUGGGGAGAGUUUCCUAAACUUGAUGGGCCCAAUCUAGCCACAUGAACUCUUUUAAGCAAAGAACUUUCUCUGGCUGGAGGCAGAAGAGAAUUAAGCCAAAGGAGAAGUUGGUGAGAUUUGAAGUGUAAGAAGGACUCAGUGUACCUUUGCUGGUUUAAAGGCAGAAGGAGCAAUGCGAUGAGGAAUACAGACAGUGUAAGGGGCUAAGAGAGGUCUCUGGCUGAUAACCAAUAGUAAAGCAUAGACCUCAGUCCUACAACCACAAGGAACUGAGUUUGGCCGACAACCUGAAAGAGUUUCAAAGUAGAUUCAUCUCCAGAACCUCCAGAAAUGAAUGCAGCCCUGGCAACACCUUGAUUUUGACAUUGUAGGACCCAGAGCAGAGGAAGCAGCCAUGCCCACCUGGACUUCUCACCUUUAGAACUGUGCAAUAAUAAAUUUGUGUUGUUUUAAGCCGUAA